rnacentral:rRNA from 1 species
CCCUUAGACGUUCUGGGCCGCACGCGCGCUACACUGACGAAGGCAACGAGCUUUCCUUUACCGAAAGGUACGGGUAAUCUUUUGAAACUUCGUCGUGCUGGGGAUAGAUCCUUGCAAUUUUUGACCUUAAACGAGGAAUGCCUAGUAAGCGCAAGUCAUCAACUUGCGUUGAUUACGUCCCUGCCCUUUGUACACACCGCCCGUCGCUACUACCGAUUGAAUGGUUUAGUGAGGCCUUCGGAUCCGCGACUCGUUUGUGGAGAAGUUGGACAAACUCAGUCAUUUAGAGGAAGUAAAAGUCGUAACA